rnacentral:rRNA from 1 species
CCUACGGGAGGCAGCAGUGGGGAAUAUUGGGCAAUGGGCGCAAGCCUGACCCAGCAACGCCGCGUGAAGGAAGAAGGCUUUCGGGUUGUAAACUUCUUUUCUCAGGGACGAAGCAAGUGACGGUACCUGAAGAAUAAGCCACGGCUAACUACGUGCCAGCAGCCGCGGUAAUACGUAGGUGGCAAGCGUUAUCCGGAUUUACUGGGUGUAAAGGGCGUGUAGGCGGGAAAGCAAGUCAGAUGUGAAAACCAUGGGAUCAACCUCUGGCCUGCAUUUGAAACUGUUUUUAGUGAGUACUGGAGAGGCAGACGGAAUUCCUAGUGUAGCGGUGAAAUGCGUAGAUAUUAGGAGGAACACCAGUGGCGAAGGCGGUCUGCUGGACAGCAACUGACGCUGAGGCGCGAAAGCGUGGGGAGCAAACAGGAUUAGAUACCCUUGUAGUC